AUGACGCGCAGCAUCCCCUUGCUAGCCGUGUGGGUAGGCUGUCUUGGCAGUGGGUUUGCCAGCCCUAGCCAAGCUGCCACAUGGAACAGAAAUGACUUGCUCUGUCGAACCUGCCCCAACUGUAGGUGCACCAAUAAGGUGCAGCCCUUCGGCUGGCAAGCACGGCCCUCUUCAAGUGCUCACCCUUCAUUUCCACUGGUUCCCCACAAGACCCUCCCUUGUUGGCGAGCUUCUCUCCAGGCUACAGGCAAAUUCAGACUGUGGACUUGGAUUUUCUUCGGCUGAGAAUCCACGACCUCCUGUGAUGGGUGUGUUUCAAGAUAAUUCUUCAGAAACUUGAUAAAAUAUGCUCAAUAAAGAAAAUGACACAAACA
rnacentral:lncRNA from 1 species